rnacentral:tRNA from 1 species
UCCCAGGUGGCUCAGUGGUAAAGAAUCUGCCUCCAAUGCAGGACACGAGGGUUCCAUCCCUGGGAU